UUAAAUUGAGAGUUUGAUCCUGGCUCAGGACGAACGCUGGCGGCGUGCCUAACACAUGCAAGUCGAGCGAUGAAGCGCUUCUUCGGAAGCGACGAUUAGCGGCGGACGGGUGAGUAACACGUGGGUAACCUGCCUCAAAGAGGGGAAUAGCCUCCCGAAAGGGAGAUUAAUACCGCAUAAUAUGUUUUGGUCGCAUGAUUGAAACAUCAAAGGAUUUUUCUUUUAGAAAAUUCCACUUUGAGAUGGACCCGCGGCGCAUUAGCUAGUUGGUGAGGUAACGGCCCACCAAGGCAACGAUGCGUAGCCGACCUGAGAGGGUGAUCGGCCACAUUGGAACUGAGACACGGUCCAGACUCCUACGGGAGGCAGCAGUGGGGAAUAUUGCGCAAUGGGGGAAACCCUGACGCAGCAACGCCGCGUGAAUGAUGAAGGCCUUCGGGUUGUAAAGUUCUGUCUUCUGGGACGAUAAUGACG
rnacentral:rRNA from 1 species